rnacentral:sRNA from 1 species
CAAUUCAAGUUUAUUGGUGUGAUUCCAUAGUCUUGUUUGAUUGCGUUUCUAGUGUGUUUGUGAGAUUCAAACAUUCUAGUUCGUGUGUUGUUGUGGAUUCAACGACAAAACUUCCAUUUUCCAUCUCUACCAUCGUUCCAUCGAAUCAUUCAAACCGUAGGCCGAGAAACCGAGAAACAUAAACCUUAGGU